rnacentral:piRNA from 1 species
GUGUUUGUGCUGUGACUCA